AGGGGGGCUGCUCCUAGUACGAGAGGACCGGAGUGGACGCAUCACUGGUGUUCGGGUUGUCAUGCCAAUGGCACUGCCCGGUAGCUAAAUGCGGAAGAGAUAAGUGCUGAAAGCAUCUAAGCACGAAACUUGCCCCGAGAUGAGUUCUCCCUGAGACUUAGAGUCUCCUGAAGGAACGUUGAAGACGACGACGUUGAUAGGCCGGGUGUGUAAGCGCAGCGAUGCGUUGAGCUAACCGGUACUAAUGAACCGUGAGGCUUAACCUU
rnacentral:rRNA from 1 species